rnacentral:lncRNA from 1 species
CAAUCUGCGCCUGAGUCGCUCUCUUGUAGGCGUGCUGGCAGGAUGUGGCAGCAUAUUUGGUUGUGCGUCAAGAAUUCUGUAUACAGUAGCACGUUUGUAUGAAGGUGUGGUUAUUCACAGGCAAAUUGUUAUAUGCUAUGGAGGAACAUUUGUGUCUUUUUGUCAAGAGCAAAACUUUUUUUUAUUUUCAAUCAAAAAUAAUUGUUCUGAAAGCAACUUUUUUCCGACACAAAGGUCGGACAGCGAGCAAGCUGAUCAAGGGGUCGAAAAUGUAGAUAUUGCCAGAUGUUCACUGACCGAGGAACACGCCGUGAAAGCUUUAUUUCUGGCAAAAGUGUCCAUAACCAGAGGUUAUAUCACCUGUUUUGGUGAACCCCUCCUGCAUCUGAACUGGCUGACACAGAGGGCACAGCAUGAUCAUAGGUAGGUUUUGAUGUGAGAGAGGAAGCCAUUCCCGUCGUCGCCUCCUCACCCGCUCUUAAGAUAACCUUUGGGCCGACUGGGGGCCCAAGGCUAGUUAGGAGACACCGCAAUUGUGAUGAACUGAGAGAAUAUUAGGGUAGCACUGUAAUUCAUGAAUCAUAUGCUGUCUGCCUCUGUUCUUACCUCUUUCCCUUUCUGUCUUCUACACUUCUCUCCCCACCUUGUCUUUCUUCCUCGUUUUAUAAUGCACACCAUAUGUGCAUUGAAGUACAGAUUGAACUUGUAUUUAUAAUAUAUUACAAUUAUCAUAAUUAUAAUGCAUUUAUUAUGUAUUUAUAACACCUGGAUAAUGAACUUCUUUCAAUAAAGCGUUUCACAUUCUCCACUGGUUGAAAGUAAAUAUCUCAUUGAAAUACUAUCCUGUGUCCUCAGAUUAAUGCAGAUGAAGGGAG